AGCGAACGCUGGCGGCAGGCUUAACACAUGCAAGUCGAACGCCCCGCAAGGGGAGUGGCAGACGGGUGAGUAACACGUGGGAACGUACCCUUUGGUUCGGAAUAACUUGGGGAAACUCAAGCUAAUACCGGAUAAGCCCUUAUGGGGAAAGGUUUACUGCCGAAGGAUCGGCCCGCGUCUGGUUAGCUAGGUGGUGAGGUAAUGGCUCACCAAGGCGACGAUCAGUAGCUGGUAUGAGAAGAUGAUCAGCCACACUGUGACUGAGACAAGGCCCGUACUCCUACGGGAGGCAGCAGUGGGGAAUAUUAGACAAUGGGGGCAACCCUGAUCCAGCCAUGCCGCGUGAGUGAUGAAGGCCUUAGGGUUGUAGAGCUCUUUUACCCGGGACGAUACUUACUGUACCGGGAGAAUAAGCCUCGGCUAACUUCGUGCCAGCCGCCGCAGUAA
rnacentral:rRNA from 1 species